UACAGAUUGCAGAAGACGUCCGCUCUUGAGACCAUGCUUGCUCUAUUCCGACUCGAAAUAUUUGCAUUUAACAUGGCUAGGAAAAGGUUAUUUCUGUGCUUAUUUUUAAGUCAGUAUUAUAAUACAUGACUUAAGGAUGCAGAAAAUGUACUUUAUAUUAUAAAACAUUAUUGUGCAUGUUGGAGCGAUGCGACUAGGCCUCAUCAGCGUGGAAAUGCGGAGGUCCCGUAUUAAACUCUGAUCCAUGCGGUGGUUUUGAGCUACACGAGGUCUGAAGGAUGAUGGCCCGCAAUGACUUUAACGAGGAAUAGGUUUCGGUGUGGACAGAUCCCAGCAUUAGCAACAUGCAAUCAGACUGCGGUGCUCUGGAAAUAAAUGAGCUGUAAGUUAUAGCUGACGCCAGGACUCAAAUUAACAUGCAUUUUAAAACAGGAAGUCUAAACUGUAGGAGUAUGUCCUGUAUAAAUAAAGCAUUUCUUAACCAGCACA